UGUGGCACUUGAACAGUGGCGCCGGCUGGGUGACCUGGGUGGAGACGUGGAGUUUGUACUUGUGCCUGUACCAACGGGUUCGAGACGGUAGCACCUCGCCGCACCACUUGCAGACUACGGAACCGUCGUUUUGAAUGAGAUAGAAAAGGUGUCACCAGAGAUAAACGGAGUGGAAACAAAAUCCGCUUCACCGUGGCCAAUUACACGGAGGAAUUGCGGUUCAACGAACUCCGAAAGAAGAGCAAACACUAAUGAAAACCGGAGAAUAAAACUGGAUAAGACGGUGAAGGAACGCGUGUUUUUUUCUUGGACUGCUUUGCAUUCGAACGAUACAGUUUUUAUGCGAAAGUAAUCUUUUUACUUUUUCUACUAUACGAAGUACUCUCGACUCGAAUCGAAUUAUAGAAAUCAUUUAUAUCGAUCAUUUAUAUCGAUAUACUUAUUGUUCACUGGUGGAAAAAAAUCUGGCGGAAGGAAUGCGGAUUAGUGAUUGAUUAAUAUGGAAGGAAACGUUUAUUUUUCACACGCAUUUUUCUUUCUACCAUGAUAUUUGUCGCGUAUACUAAUUCAAAACAACGAUCUGUAUUUAAACUUUAAUGCAUUAACGUAGACAUAGAAUCAAAAGAAUUUUAACGUAUCGAUAUAAUAUAAUAAAUAUUUUCUCAUAAUAUGCGUAAGCUAAUUACGAUUUAUUUAACGAUAGUUUAAUUUGUAAAUAUUUAAUUUUAUAUUUGAAUAGAGAUAAUAAUUAUACGUAUAUACAAAGACAUACUAUGAAAAUAAUUAAUAGUUUCGAAAAUAUUUCAGCUAACGUAACGUAUUCAAUCUUAUUCUAACGUAACUUCAUAGAUGAAAAUAAUUUUUACGAUUUUGAAUCUAUUAUUAUAGUGUGGUGCGAUGUCAACAAAGAUUGUAAACAAA